rnacentral:rRNA from 1 species
CCUACGGGAGGCUGCAGUGGGGAAUAUUGGACAAUGGGGGGAACCCUGAUCCAGCCAUGCCGCGUGUGUGAAGAAGGCCCUCGGGUUGUAAAGCACUUUCAGUGAGGAAGAACGCCUGGUGGUUAAUACCCAUCAGGAAAGACAUCACUCACAGAAGAAGCACCGGCUAACUCCGUGCCAGCAGCCGCGGUAAUACGGAGGGUGCGAGCGUUAAUCGGAAUUACUGGGCGUAAAGCGCGCGUAGGUGGCUUGAUAAGCCGGUUGUGAAAGCCCCGGGCUCAACCUGGGAACGACAUCCGGAACUGUCAAGCUAGAGUGCAGGAGAGGAAGGUAGAAUUCCCGGUGUAGCGGUGAAAUGCGUAGAGAUCGGGAGGAAUACCAGUGGCGAAGGCGGCCUUCUGGACUGACACUGACACUGAGGUGCGAAAGCGUGGGUAGCAAACAGGAUUAGAUACCCCUGUAGUC